CCCAUGCAGUUUAUCGCGCAUGGAUGGGAUAUGCAGGAAAGCAAUAAUCAAGUUGGGAGUGAUGCCCCGCCAUACAUGCAGAACGAAAGCUGAAAACUAAAAAUACUGUGCCCAUCCAGUGGUUUUUAAAGUAGGUGAGUAGCGUCUAGCCCCGCGAGAGAUUGGGCA
rnacentral:ncRNA from 1 species